rnacentral:sRNA from 1 species
CUCAUCUGGGAAGGCCGGAAGGGGUCCCAGAACUGCUGUGCCCAUUCUCCGUGGUGGAAAAACAGCCCAGGAGCAGAAGUGGGGUCAGGGCUUGGGGGGUCCACACACCCGUUGUCAGACAUCUUCUGUGCUGGUCACCCUGGGGGUGUCAUGCUGUCUUCUCACCUGCUUUGGGAACUUCCGGCACACGGAGACUCGCAACACUGUGUCCCGCGAGGAGCUCAUGAUGGUGCUGGCCAGCCUGGAGCAGCUGCAGAUCCGUGCCCUCUUCUCACAGAUCUCCUCGGCUGUCUCCCUGCGCAGGGUGGCACUGGAGGUGGCCAGCCCAGCAGGCCAGGGGGCCCUGGCCAGCAAUGUGGAGCUGUGCCUGUGCCCCGCCAGCUACCGGGGGGACUCAUGCCAGGUGAGGUCAGGACAGCACUAGACUGCUCACCUGUGCACACCCUUUCCUCUAGCACCUCCCUGUGUUCCCUUCCUUGCUGCCUCCACUUCCUGUCACCCUACUCACCUCUCUUCCUGUCUCUGCCCUUCACAGGCUGCUGGCCAACUCACAGGCCUGCCUGUCCCCUG